ACGUGUGGGGCAAGCGUUGUUCGGAAUUAUUGGGCGUAAAGGGCGUCUAGGCGGGGGAUUAAGUUAGAUGUGAAAGCUAUGGGCUCAACCCAUAAACUGCAUCUAAGACUGGUUCUCUUGAGUUCGGGAGAGGAGAGCGGAAUUCCAGGUGUAGGGGUGAAAGGCGUAGAUCUCUGGAAGAACACCAGUGGCGAAGGCGGCUAUCUGGACUAGAACUGACGCUGAAGCGCGAAAUCGUGGGGAGCGAACAG
rnacentral:rRNA from 1 species